UCCCUAGUACAAACCGGUUCAAACACCACAAAACACAAUCACAAACGUGAUAAAAGGAUAAAUAGUUCCAACAUUGACAAUUAGUACAUCCCAAUAUUUCUUUGAUUAAUUAUAAGAAAGAAGAAAUAUAGAGAGAGUUGAGUUUUUUCAGGAAUGAGCAAAAUAGGAAAAGCAUCAAAAGGCUUGCUACGCAGGAGAGAUGAUGCUGGACGAUAGAGAUAUGGGAAUAUUAAAGGGGCCUAAUUUAUUGGCCAGCAUCAUACUCCUGCAUAUUAAGCCUAAAAAAGAUGCUAUAAAUUACCAUGAUGGUUGGUUGGGCCAGGAGGGUCUCUUAACGCCUUCUUUUUUUUCUCAUCCAAGUUAUUUCACAAAGACUUAUCAGGGUAAGGAAGAAGGGGAACAAGCACACUUGGAAGCGCAGUACAACGGAGAGUUGUAUGCCUCUUUUCUUCACUCAAAGCGGCAAUGCACCCUUUGUUUGAAGGGUACUUGAUUUGUUUGAAGGGUUCUUUUAUUUAGGUUUAGAAGGAGGCAGAUAGAAAGAUUUGAAAAAUCUAAACAACUCGAGUAGGCAAAAGGAAAAGCUUGAGUUAAAUAUUAUCGCUUAGUGGAAUGAUUUGAUCCAUCAAAUGACAGAUCUGGAUUCCCAAAGGACGUUGGCAUCAGGUAGAAAGUCCUUUUUUGCCUCUUCAAAACACAUGAAAUGCAGACAGACAGGGCGGAGCUAGUGCUUCAGUUACAAGUUCGACGAAACUCAAUAACUUUAUUCAAAUUUUAUCUGGACAAAAAAAACUCUCAAACUCAUAAGUUUCGUUUCAAAUCCUGACUCCACCUCUGCGGACAGAGCAAAGCUUGGCAGAUGGUAGGGGUGGGAAUUU